rnacentral:lncRNA from 1 species
CUGUGCUGGAAUUCCUUGAGUGGAGAACCACCCUUAAUUACACUUGUAUCAAACACAUUUUUACUCAAAUGUCAAAAGAUGGAAUUAUAAUUGAUAAAAUCAUUAACUAAAUGUAUUUGUAAUAUAAGUGUUUAAAUGUAUUAUAGCAUUUAUGUUUACGUAAAUUCUGAAAUUUUUGCAUUUUUAUUCUUAUUAAAAUUGUGACAAG